rnacentral:rRNA from 1 species
AGAGUUUGAUCCUGGCUCAGGAUGAACGCUAGCGACAGGCUUAACACAUGCAAGUCGAGGGGCAGCGGUGGUGAAGGCUUGCCUUUACCAGCCGGCGACCGGCGCACGGGUGAGUAACACGUAUGCAACCUGCCUGCCACAGCCGGAUAAUCGGGAGAAAUUCCGUCUAAUACGGCAUAAUGCAUCGACGGGACAUCCUGUUGGUGCCAAAGGUUGAUUCCGGUGGCGGAUGGGCAUGCGUCGCAUUAGUUAGUUGGCGGUGUAACGGACCACCAAGACGACGAUGCGUAGGGGUUCUGAGAGGAAGGUCCCCCACACUGGUACUGAGACACGGACCAGACUCCUACGGGAGGCAGCAGUGAGGAAUAUUGGUCAAUGGGCGGGAGCCUGAACCAGCCAAGUCGCGUGAGGGAUGACGGCCCUAUGGGUUGUAAACCUCUUUUGCCGGGGAGCAAAGUGCCGCACGUGUGCGGUUUGGAGAGUACCCGGAGAAAAAGCAUCGGCUAACUCCGUGCCAGCAGCCGCGGUAAUACGGAGGAUGCGAGCGUUAUCCGGAUUUAUUGGGUUUAAAGGGUGCGUAGGCGGACGCUUAAGUCAGCGGUAAAAUUGCGGGGCUCAACCUCGUCGAGCCGUUGAAACUGGGUGCCCUUGAGUGGGCGAGAAGUACGCGGAAUGCGUGGUGUAGCGGUGAAAUGCAUAAAUAUCACGCAGAACUCGGAUUGGCGAAGGCAGCGUACCGGCGGCCCAACUGCCGGUGAAGCACGAAGGCGUGGGUAUCGAACAGGAUUGGAUACCCUGGUAGUCCACGCAGUAAACGAUGAAUGCUAAUUGUCCGGGGCGAUUGAGUUCUGGGUGACACAGCGAAAGCGUUAAGCAUUCCACCUGGGGAGUACGCCGGCAACGGUGAAACUCAAAGGAAUUGACGGGGGCCCGCACAAGCGGAGGAACAUGUGGUUUAAUUCGAUGAUACGCGAGGAACCUUACCCGGGCUCAAACGCAGGAGGGAUGUUUUUGAAAGGAGGCAGCCAGCAAUGGUCUCCUGCGAGGUGCUGCAUGGUUGUCGUCAGCUCGUGCCGUGAGGUGUCGGCUUAAGUGCCAUAACGAGCGCAACCCCUACCUACAGUUGCCAUCGCGUGAUGGCGGGCACUCUGUGGGGACUGCCUGCGCAAGCAGUGAGGAAGGCGGGGAUGACGUCAAAUCAGCACGGCCCUUACGUCCGGGGCGACACACGUGUUACAAUGGCAGGUACAGCGGGAAGCCACCCGGCGACGGGGCGCGGAACCCGAAAACCUGUCUCAGUUCGGAUUGGAGUCUGCAACCCGACUCCAUGAAGCUGGAUUCUGCUAGUAAUCGCAGCAUCAGCCAUCGGCGCGGGUGAAUACGUUCCCGGGCCUUGCACACACCGCCCGUCA